rnacentral:rRNA from 1 species
GUCCACGCUGUAAACGAUGAGAACUAGAUGUUGGUCAGCAAGACUGAUUAGUAUCGAAGCUAACGCGAUAAGUUCUCCGCCUGGGGAGUACGACCGCAAGGUUAAAACUCAAAGGAAUUGACGGGGGCCCGCACAAGCGGUGGAGCAUGUGGUUUAAUUCGAUGCAACGCGAAGAACCUUACCUACCCUUGACAUCCUGCGAAGACUGAAGAGAUUUAGUUGUGCCGAAAGGAACGCAGAGACAGGUGCUGCAUGGCUGUCGU